rnacentral:rRNA from 1 species
GAUGAACGCUGGCGGCGUGCCUAAUACAUGCAAGUCGAGCGAACAGACGAGGAGCUUGCUCCUCUGACGUUAGCGGCGGACGGGUGAGUAACACGUGGAUAACCUACCUAUAAGACUGGGAUAACUUCGGGAAACCGGAGCUAAUACCGGAUAAUAUAUUGAACCGCAUGGUUCAAUAGUGAAAGACGGUUUUGCUGUCACUUAUAGAUGGAUCCGCGCCGCAUUAGCUAGUUGGUAAGGUAACGGCUUACCAAGGCGACGAUGCGUAGCCGACCUGAGAGGGGUAUCCGCCACACUUGAACUGGAGCACGGUCCAGACUCCUAAGGGAAGCAGCAGUUGGGAAUCUUCCGCAAUUGGCGAAAGCCUGACGGAGCAACGCCGCGUUAGUGAUGAAGGUCUUCGGAUCCUAAAACUCUGUUAUUAGGGAAGAACAAAUGUUUAAGUAACUAUGCACGUCUUGACGGUACCUAAUCAGAAAGCCACCGCUUACUACGUG